rnacentral:rRNA from 1 species
GACGAACGCUGGCGGCGUGCUUAACACAUGCAAGUCGAACGGAAAGGCCCUGCUUUUGUGGGGUGCUCGAGUGGCGAACGGGUGAGUAACACGUGAGUAACCUGCCCUUGACUUUGGGAUAACUUCAUGAAACUGGGGCUAAUACCGGAUAGGAUCUCCUGCUUCUUGGUGGGGGUUGGAAAGUUUCGGCGGUUGGGGAUGGACUCGCGGCUUAUCAGCUUGUUGGUGGGGUAGUGGCUUACCGAGGCUUUGACGGGUAGCCGGCCUGAGAGGGUGCCCGGACACAUUGGGACUGAGAUAAGGCCCAGACUCAUACGGGAGGCAGCAGUGGGGAAUAUUGCACAAUGGGCGGAAGCCUGAUGUAGCAACGCCGCGUGCGGGAUGACGGCAUUCGGGUUGUAAACCGCUUUCGCCUGUGACGAAGCGUGAGUGACGGUAAUGGGUAAAGAAGCACCGGCUAACUACGUG